rnacentral:rRNA from 1 species
UGGGUAACCUGCCCUUAACUCUGGGAUAAGCCUGGGAAACUGGGUCUAAUACCGGAUAUGACUCCUCAUCGCAUGGUGGGGGGUGGAAAGCUUUUUGUGGUUUUGGAUGGACUCGCGGCCUAUCAGCUUGUUGGUGAGGUAAUGGCUCACCAAGGCGACGACGGAUAACCGGCCUGAGAGGGCGACCGGCCACACUGGGACUGAGACACGGCCCAGACCUCCGUACGGGAGCAG